UACGAAGGGGGCUAGCGUUGCUCGGAAUCACUGGGCGUAAAGGGUGCGUAGGCGGGUCUUUAAGUCAGGGGUGAAAUCCUGGAGCUCAACUCCAGAACUGCCUUUGAUACUGAAGAUCUUGAGUCCGGGAGGGGUGAGUGGAACUGCGAGUGUAGAGGUGAAAUUCGUAGAUAUUCGCAAGAACACCAGUGGCGAAGGCGGCUCACUGGCCCGGUACUGACGCUGAGGCACGAAAGCGUGGGGAGCAAACAGG
rnacentral:rRNA from 1 species